GCCUGGGUGGCUCAGUGGUUGAGCGUCUGCCUUCGGCUCAGGUCGUGAUCCCAGGGUCCUGGGAUCAAGUCCCACAUCAGGCU
rnacentral:tRNA from 1 species